rnacentral:tRNA from 1 species
ACCGGUCUAGUUUAAAAAAAAUAUUAAUUUUGUAAAUUAGUGAUCCUUAGUGGAUCGGUG